rnacentral:rRNA from 1 species
CGCCUGGGGAGUACGGCCGCAAGGUUAAAACUCAAAUGAAUUGACGGGGGCCCGCACAAGCGGUGGAGCAUGUGAUUUAAUUCGACGCAACGCGAAGAACCUUACCUGGCCUUGACAUCCAGAGAGCUUUCCAGAGAUGGAUUGGUGCCUUCGGGAACUCUGAGACAGGUGCUGCAUGGCCGUCGUCAGCUCGUGUCGUGAGAUGUUGGGUUAAGUCCCGUAACGAGCGCAACCCCUAUCCCUGGUUGCUAGCAGGUAAUGCUGAGAACUCCAGGGAGACUGCCGGUGACAAACCGGAGGAAGGUGGGGAUGACGUCAGGUCAUCAUGGCCCUUACGGCCAGGGCUACACACGUGCUACAAUGGCGCGUACAGAGGGCUGCCAACUCGCGAGAGUGAGCCAAUCCCUUAAAACGCGUCGUAGUCCGGAUCGGAGUCUGCAACUCGACUCCGUGAAGUCGGAAUCGCUAGUAAUCGCGAAUCAGAAUGUCGCGGUGAAUACGUUCCCGGGCCUUGUACACACCGCCCGUCACACCAUGGGAGUGGAUUGCACCAGAAGUAGUUAGUCUAACCUUCGGGAGGACGAUUACCACGGUGUGGUUCAUGACUGGGGUGAAGUCGUAACAAGGUAACCGUA